rnacentral:rRNA from 1 species
CCUACGGGCGGCAGCAGUGGGGAAUAUUGCACAAUGGGCGCAAGCCUGAUGCAGCCAUGCCGCGUGUGUGAAGAAGGCCUUCGGGUUGUAAAGCACUUUCAGCGGGGAGGAAGGCGGUGAGGUUAAUAACCUCAUCGAUUGACGUUACCCGCAGAAGAAGCACCGGCUAACUCCGUGCCAGCAGCCGCGGUAAUACGGAGGGUGCAAGCGUUAAUCGGAAUUACUGGGCGUAAAGCGCAUGCAGGCGUCUGUCAAGUCGGAUGUGAAAUCCCCGGGCUCAACCUGGGAACUGCAUUCGAAACUGGCAGGCUAGAGUCUUGUAGAGGGGGGUAGAAUUCCAGGUGUAGCGGUGAAAUGCGUAGAGAUCUGGAGGAAUACCGGUGGCGAAGGCGGCCCCCUGGACAAAGACUGACGCUCAGGUGCGAAAGCGUGGGGAGCAAACAGGAUUAGAUACCCGGGUAGUC